CCAUGCUGCUUAGCUGCGAAUCUGCAAAUACAGGUUAGGUUACAGUCCUGUUCUCUCCCUCUGGUUGGGAUGACUGAAGAAUAUCUGAACAUCUGCAGUAAAGUUGGUUUCCAUGGAUACUUCCACCUCUAAAGCCUCUUCUGUGAACCUGUGUUCCAGCCAGAGCCCCUCUUGGCUGUCAGCAGGGGAGGCCGUACAGUACUCAGCUGAGGAGCACAUACACUGAAUUUCCAGCAACUCCUGAAUUAGUGCACAGCUCCACUAAUAGCUCUUGAAGAUUUAUAUAGUGCAGGCCCAGAAGGAAUGCAGUGGUACUGUCCAGAGAGCUAACAGUCUGAAUAAGCUUCAGAAAAGCAGACUAAAAUUACUGCUUUUGUACCUGCACAGACAGAAGUCAAAACCAAGGGCGCUCCAUGCCAUCGUCCCAAAUGCAACAGCAGCUUACCCCUGAUGCUGUGCGCAUCCUCCUUCCAGCACAAGGCUGCCGGUGCACCCAGCUGUGAUGCCAGCCAGAGCCCCCUCCACACCUCCCCUUCUCAGCCUGCCUCCGCACACGCACAUUGCUGGUCCGGGGCCCUGAGCUGCCCCUGCUCACUAGAGAUGCUGACAGAAGUUGUGAAGAUGGAUUCGUUUGGCAAGAUUUCAAUUCUGUUAUUAUCCUAACUCCUCUUUUUCUGUAACACAAUAUUAUCAAUCUGAUCUCUGCUCUUCAAGCAAUCAGAUCCAAAUGCUCUCUGCUCAUCUGUUUUCUAAUCAGUCUUGGUUCUAAUUUGCUUGAUUAUUCAGAGCCCUUCCACUCUAAAUUCAGCAUGUUCAAAUUCAACCUGGCAUAAAUUGAUUAUUUUUGUAUCACUCUAAAGACAGCUGCCGGCAGCCAAACAGGUAUCAAUUGCUUGUUUAUAAAAUGUCUCCAGAACAGUGAAGAGUGGCUAGAGGGUGCUUCCACAUGACUACAAAUAAGACAGGAUAUUUACCUAGGUACUUACAAUUCAGGG